rnacentral:piRNA from 1 species
UUCAGUUGAUUCUCCUUUUUU